GGAGACGAGCGGAGACGGGCGGCGCCAGGCAGGGGCGCGCAGAGCCGGGAGAGGACGAGGGGCUGCGGGGCUGCGGGAACCGACGCGGAGAUGGGAGAGUUGUAGGAAGGGACGGAGCUGGAGCGAGUCCGACGCGGAGACGCAGAGCGAGGCCGAAGGAGGGAAGGAGUCAGCCAGAGGGAUGGAGAGAGGUGUGCAGAAACGCAGACGCGAUGGAGAAGGGGAGAGAAGGGGAGGGCGAGAGACAGCGACCCACAGAGAACCAGAGAGACACAGGAUCCUCAGUACUCCACAGAGAAGCUUCCAGAACCCUCUCAGCUCCCCGUGCACGUUUUUAGACCCCUGAACAUUCUUUGCGCCCGCCAUAAGGUCCCCUCAUCUUCACGUGGGCCUCCAUACAGCGAUACGUGCCCGCUAGAGCGCACCCCUGGAUCCGUGCUCAGGGAGAUCCACAUAAUCCAGGACUCCCCCGUAUCAGGUACCCACAGGUGUUAGACACCCAUUUCAUCCCUGAGUCCCCUGUAAAGGAGACCCAAGAGCUUCUAGUCUCCUAGACAACCAGCUUUGUUCCAUAAGCCUUUACUGGACACCAAAUCUGAGAGCUGGCACUGUCCACGAGGUGAGGGGGCACCAGAGAGCCACAUCAACCAAGGUCUUUGCCCCGUGGAACUCCCACGGCGGUGGACGCAGCAGGUGAUAAACAAGAGAAGCAAAAUGUGUACCCACGGAUGGUAGGCUGAACGACAGCCCCCAGAGAUGCCCACAUCCGAAUUUCCCAGAAUCUGUGCCUAUGUCACCUUAUGUAGCACAAAGGACUUUGCAGAUGGAGUGGGUUGACGAUCUUGAGACGGGCAGAUGACGUCCCUGUAUGUAAUCGCAAGGACCCUUUUGAAAAUGCGGCAGGGAAGGGUCAGGGUCAGAGAAGGAGAUGGGACCCUGAUGCCAGAAGUCAAAGUGAUGCAGCCGCAAUCCAAGGAACGUGGGUGGCCUCUGCAAGCCAGAAAAGGCGGGAAGCAGACUUUCUCCUACGGCUUCCAGAAGGAACGCAGUCCUGCUGAUACCUUGGUUCUAACCCAUAAGCACCAUUUUGGGCUUCAGACCACCAGAAUUGUAAGAUAAUAAAUCUGUGUUGUU